rnacentral:rRNA from 1 species
AACGAACGCUGGCGGCAUGCCUAACACAUGCAAGUCGAACGAUGCUUUCGGGCAUAGUGGCGCACGGGUGCGUAACGCGUGGGAAUCUGCCCUUGGGUUCGGAAUAACAGUUAGAAAUGACUGCUAAUACCGGAUGAUGACGUAAGUCCAAAGAUUUAUCGCCCAGGGAUGAGCCCGCGUAGGAUUAGGUAGUUGGUGGGGUAAAGGCCUACCAAGCCGACGAUCCUUAGCUGGUCUGAGAGGAUGAUCAGCCACACUGGGACUGAGACACGGCCCAGACUCCUACGGGAGGCAGCAGUGGGGAAUAUUGGACAAUGGGCGAAAGCCUGAUUCAGCAAUGCUGCGUGAGUGAUGAAGGCCUUAGGGUUGUAAAGCUCUUUUACCCGGGAAGAUAAUGACUGUACCGGGAGAAUAAGCCCCGGCUAACUCCGUGCCAGCAGCCGCGGUAA